UUUAUGUGGGAUGUCACCAUAGCAUGGCUUGACAAGCUGUGCUAGGUCUGUGCCUGGGAUCAGAACCUGCUAACUCCAGAACACCAAAGGAGAGUACACAAACUUAACCACUACGCCACAGGGCUGGCACUAUUUGCUACUUUUUAAUAUUUGCAAUAACCUGUGACGAGUCACCUGAGACUUUGUGUGGUUAAGGAACUGUCCAGAGUCACAAGUCUAGUAGGUCAGAGAACCAAAUUAAAACUCGGAACCAUCUCCACUCAUGAACUGACCAAUAGUGUUACAAAACUGAUUUAUGGCCAUGAAAGCAUGGAUGCACUAGUUCACACUAGGCCAGGAGCUAAGACUGACCUGUGGGCAGUUAAAAUAGAGUAUCUGGGCCCAGAACUCAGAGAUUCCGAUACUGUGGGUGUGGGGUGUGGCCUGGAGAUCUGCAUUUUUACCUGACAGCCCAGGCGAUUCCCAUCAACAGGCAAGGCUGGCAUUUGCGUAUGGCAGCAGUUUCCACUCUCAGCUCUCAGAGUCACCUGCAGAGCUUUGUAAAACCUACAGAUCUUGGAACCACACCCCAGAGCUACUGACAGAAUCUCCCCAGGUGGGGCUUAAGAAUCUGUGUCUUACCAGGCCUCCAGCUAGUCUUACCCAGCAGCCGCACAGGGCUCCUCAGUGACAUUUGGAAAGUCCUGAACAAGAACGUCAUUGCUGUUGCCCUUUGGAUCUACGUCAUGGGGUCCUGUCUUAAGUGAAAGUCUUUUGUAGGGAACUUUAAUUAAUUAAAUAGAAGCUUCUGGAAUGAGAAGACAGAGGCUGUGGUGAAGCCAGUAACUGAAUCUGCUUGCCUUUUUAGACUUUCCCUAAAGAUCACUGUAAGAACUUUGAAGAUCUUUAAAAACCCUUCAUUUAUCAUAUUUCUCAGAUACACUCGUACAUCUUAGUUUUUAUAUAGGUUAAAAUUGUAUUUCUUUCUUUCUCCCAAAAAACACAGUGUCUGCUCUCAUGACAAAGCAUGUUUCUGAAGUCACUCUCCUUUUAGCCCUCCAGUAAUUGUUAUAUUCACACGUUGGAUGAAGAGCCUAAGAUAAGGGUUUAAUUUGGAUUAAUAGGAUAAUUACUGCGUGACAAAUGAAAGCCAAACACCGUGAGGAACCGCUUUGUGAGAGAGCUCUUUGUCUGACAAAGGUUUGUUUUCAGGUAUGCGGCCUAAAUUGCGAACUUCCGAAAUAUUUCCCAAGCUUCUGAGGAAAUUUACAUUUAAACAUCCAAUGCGACCUUGCCUUUUUCUUGGGUGCUUUGAAGAGUCAAGUUUGAACUCUCUGGUGGAAUCUUUCUAUCACUUCUCAGGCUCUGCCAUGGCGGCUGAAUUGUCACCUCACCCUUGUUGACACCCGAGUGCAGCUUCCUGAAAAUGAGGAGGCGGGGUCUCUAAGCUGCGGGUGGCAGGAACGCAUCCUGCCUGAGGCUCAGGCCGUGAUCACCAGGGCAUCUGUCACGCUCUCUUGUGGUUGUUUACGUGUUUCUCAUCCCUGUUGAACUGUGAGCCCCAUCAGCCGCGAGGGCUGAGCAUUAAUACUUGGACAAUAAUGACAAAACAGCUUCAACAACUAACAGCUUUUGAGCCGUGGUGAUGCCACAGGUCCUGUGCUAACAUCUGUUAGACACACUUCAGAAAACAGAAAAAUGUGACAGGAGAGGGGAAAGAAACUUGCCAAAGAUUCAGGGGCGGACCUGGGAUUCUAAUUCCGAACCCCCUGACUCCAAAGCCUGAAUGAUCACACCCCACUUUUGUAUCAGCACCACCUAACCCACCGUAGGUCUCACGUGCAUAGUAGGUGUUGAGCACACUGUGUAAAGGGCUAACAUUUGUCCGGGGUCUACUCUCUGCUGGGUUUUGUGCUCAGCUCUUCACAGACAUCAUCAGUCCCCAGAAUCUAACCACCCCACUCUUGUCUGGGGCUUGCCUGUGAGACGGUGGGCCCUCCUGAGGAUGGGUGUAGGGUACACUGGCUCUGGACACAUGGGACUGGCUGGCAUUUCAGUAAAACCCAAGGCUUUUGUUACCUGAAUGACUCAUUUCUUUUUCUCUCCUCUCCUGACUUCUUUACCUCUAUUUUAUGAUGAGUGCUUUUUCAAUCUCCUUCUACAUUUUCCCCUCCCAUCAUUUACCACCUGAACCCCUCAGUACAUAAGAGAUACACAAUGGGCACCUACCAUGUUCUUGGUACUAAAUGGUACUCUCAUUCACAGCUGCAUGUUGUCCCAUCUGCCAUGCGUCCCUCUGGAUUCUUUCCCAGCCACUGUGAAGAGUGCAGGUUGGGGUCACACACUGUGCUGCCUGGGGUCACAGCCUCCUUUCACCUUUUAUUAUUUUAUGGCCAGGGGUGAGUUACUUAAUCCCUCAGUGCCUCGGUUUUCUCAUCUUUACAAAUGGGGUAAUAACAACAGUCCCGAUUCCAUCAGGUUCGGGGAGAGUUAAAUGAGCUAAUACGUGUAAUGAGCUUGUAGCUGUCCUUGGCUCCUAACAAGAGCUCCAACAAUUUUGGCCUUCUCCUUGACCCACCCCACUGUCCUUCUCUUAAUCUACCUCAAUUUGGGAUGCCUCUCUGCUGUGUCCUUUAUAGUCUACAAUCCUCUCUGUCCCCUUUCUUAACUCAUUCCUCAGGGUUGCCUUCCAUUCCCUUUGUAGUUUAUUUAUUUGUUUUUCUUUCAAAUGUCUUGUUAGUUAUACCUGAGAACACACAAGGAUAUAUUUAUAGGUAUGUAUGUUUUGUGUACACAGUCAUCAGACCCGGGGAAAGUGAAAGGUUCAGUCAAUUUCAUGGCUGGUUUUUUUAACAAAAUGAGUUUAUUUGGAGAAUGAAUUAAUAGAAUCAAUGACAUGUAGGCACUGUCUCAUAAGAAAUUAUAGUUUCACCCAAGUGAAUUUGUUUGCCAUUUGUGUGUGUGUGUGUGUGUUACUAGGCUGAUGUCUGCCCCUCUGCAAAAAAAAAGACCAGGUCUCCUGAGUCCUUAAUGAAUCUUGGCGGGAAAGAUAUUCAACUUCUCAAAGCCUCAGCUGUCAUAUCUGAACAACAGGGAUGGGUGGGUCUCCUUCAUAAUGGUGUUUGGGGAAAUAUUUUGCUGAUUUUAAAGGUUUAAUGGAAUUGGGGUAAAAUGCCAAGAAGAAGAAGUUUUACCAUCUGUUUAUUUUUCCCCUUUUUCAGUGAGGUCUACCCAAGAAUCUGUAGAAACUAUCACUGUUCCCUUAGAGUUCAUGCCUCUUUAGCCAUGUGGUAACUUGUGUGUCUAUGUGUGUAUGUGUGUGUGUGUGUGUGUAUUCUUCCAAAUUUCUCAUCUACAGGAUUUCAUGCCUCUCUCCUGGAAAAAUGUAUGUAACUUGAAAUGUUGAAUGGAUACCAUGGAUCUUGGGAAGGACAUUCAAACAUUGAAAACACACAACACUGGCACCAAGUACUCUAUAAUAGUUGGAACUCAGGCUCAAGUUGGUGAUGCUAUCCAUGACGGGAUGUUAAAGAAGAAGAUGAAACAUAGAAAAGAAAACAAGAGAAGUCUCUUUUCUGGCCUCCUUUCUUAAUUAUGGAAUACAUGGAUCAUUCAGGCAAUAGUGAAGAGUCAAAUUGGAAGAAGAUUGGAGAAGUUAUUGUAAUAUUGGAUAAGAUUUCUUGCAUAAAUCUUUAUGAAAUUUUUUCUUUCUAAAAAAAGGGAGCCCAUGGAUUGGCUCCCUUCGUAUUUCAUUUCAUUCAUUUCAUGGAUUGGUAUCCUGAGGCUAAAAUUGGUCCUAAAAUCUUGCCAUCUAGGCCAAUCUGUACAUCCUCUCUCUCUCCUACCUAAGGAGCUGUGGCUGCAGGAAUGGGAAGCGUCUGAGGCUGGUAAUAAAAUGAAGUCAUGUUUAAGUUCAAUUCAUUCAUUUGAGCAUCUCAGCAUCUAUUCAACUGCUGGCAGCCACAGUUCUUCAAGUUCCCCUCCUCCCAUCGUGGUUCAGGUGGAUCCUUGUCACCUGACAGGUGAGUUUCCUUACCAAAUAUUUACUCUGAGUCUGUAAUGCCUAGUAUAAGAUGUGAAAGAAAUAAUGAGAGAAUAAGGACAUAUAAGGUAGAGAAAGAGCAAGACAUGAUUAAAAGAGAAAAAAGCACAGAGGACACUACUAUUUAUUUAUUGUUAAUAUGUAAGAGACAUCCACGUCAGGCAAUUUAUAUGACUAGCUUCAUUUAUUGUCACAGUGACUGGGUACUAUUAUUCCCAUUUUUAGAGGAGAGCUUUCAUAAAUGAACUGACUUGCCAGGAGAGAUGAGUGCAGUCUCUCACUUACGGAGUCUGCCUAGGCUCUUUCAGCUUUAUCUCCUCCAGCGCUUUCCACAGCACUUCACAUAGGUAAGCCCAGAAAGUUUAGGUAGCCUUCCCAAAUCACACAGCAAGGCAGAGCUGAGAUAUGGAUGGGAACUUAAAUAUAUACACACACAUCUAAACGCUCUAUUUUUACAAAUUCCUGCUGCAAUGAAGUAGUUUCUUUUAUCAGCUUUAGCUAACAUUUUCAUUGCUAGGGGAAACCCAUAUGAUUGUGAUUGUUUUGAAGUUCUGAGUCAAAGUGACUGUGCUGUUGAAACUCAGGUCACUCCUAGUAAGAAUGUGAGCAGGUCUUUGGGAGAUGGGAAGAUUUCGCUGUCAGUUCUUGGGUUAUUUGGUUUAUUUUAAAUGACAUAUAAUAUUGAUCCAGUUCCAAAUCUUUCCCCAAACCUAUUCAUGCUCAGGCAUCCGAAGGCACUUGUCAUUUGGUGGCACAAAGAUUUAGAGGAUCAUGCCAAUGUAUUAUUCAAGUCAUUUACUCAUGUUAAUGUAUUAUUGAAACACAGCGCUUAACAAGUUUCUGAAAGAGACUAGUUGCAUAUGAACAGGAACAGUAUCAUGAUGACACUAGCAUGAUACGUUGUGGAGAGCCAUCCCUUAUGCUUCAGAACACGGAUUCAACUCUGCUUGCAGCUGGGCCAGCCACCCACCUGGGACCCUUGCAGACAAGUGGGAUUGGACAAGAGCCAUUGUUUUGAUCUAUUGGUUGACCCUGGCACCUCUGGUUCCCUUUGCAGAACUGCAAUCCAGUAUUUUCUUCAGGUAUGGAAAUCUUCAGGUACACUUAAAGCUCCUCUCUAAAGAGUUGAUUCAGGCCGUCUCCGGAUUGAUGGGAUUUGUGUCCCUGUUCUUCACCUACUGGUUGGUACUGCGUCUCAGGGAGAAGAGAAAGACCUGUCUGUUGUUAACUACAACACUAACUUUGUGUAAGAGCUUUCCCAAAUGAGAAUUUGUGAUAUGAAAAUUGUUCCUUGGGACUUCUGGUUUGAGCUCUGCCAUAUAAAGAGCUUGGUAGUCAUCAUUCUCACUAUUACAAUAAGAUCAAGCUGGAAAAACUGAAAAGCAAUGACUUUUUUUGGUUGUCUCAGAGAACUGAGUUUGCAGGGAAAACAACUACCCUGAAAUAUGGAGAGAUGGGCACAUCUCUGGAGAGAGAGCAACUGACAUCUGCUUGCUUGAAGCAGAAACCACUGGAAUCAUAAACUGGUAAGAACAUUGCAGAAAAGUUAACAUAGCAGGCCUGAGACGGUUAUUCCUGGGAAGACCUGCUUGCAAGGUUGGCCCUUGGCUGGUUCCUGGGAACAUGGAUUUUUGGAGGGUUCUCACCAUUUCCAGAAGUGAUAACAGGGCUCACUAUGCUUAGACUAUUUGUAUAAACCAUGUGGUUCAUGCUUCAGGCACCUAUUUUCCUUCUGGGAGACUGGAAUUUUGGUAUGUGAGAAGUAGAGGGUAACCCCCCCAAAAUUUGGGGGCACUGAGUUUUUAAUGAGCUUCCCUGAGAGGCAACAUUUAGUAUGAAUUGUCACAACCCAUAGCUGCAAGAAUUAAGAGCAUCAUGUAUGCCUCCUUUGGGAGAAGAUUCUGGGAAGUUUGUGCCUGGUUUCCUCCAAACCUCACCCGACAUCUUUUCCCUUUGAUGAUUUUGCUUUGCAUCACUUUACUAUAAUAAAUCA